rnacentral:lncRNA from 1 species
AUGUCAUCCUUGUGUUAACUAUGCAACCACUUACGCAGCUGGUUUAGCUCUCGAGCAACAGUAUCAUUGGGUGCAGGCCCAUCAUGGCACCUUCAGUAUUUUCAUUAGCUGAUGAGAGAUGAAGGAGGAGAACAUAGUUUGCAACUUCCAUCAGUCCCACACAGGAUGACCAAUGGAGGCAAGCAUGGGCUUCCUUUGCAAUUCUGGUUGCAGAUUCACAGAACUUCGAAGGAUUUGCAUCCUGAGGGAAAGCACUUUACUUAGAAGUAUGGGCUGUUGACUUCAAUCCACAGACCAAAAACAAGCACCACCAGCACAUCUCUGAGGACACAACAGUCCUAAGGACAAAGAAGCACAACCAGCUAAGACGCAUCUGUAUGGAUGCAUCUCUACCAACCCUAAGGUCAUUUGCUGAGAUCUAAAAUCCACCAG